CUGGCAGGCUGCAGGAAAGUCCCAAUAUUGCAUGAGUUACUUUUACCUCAGUGUCACUGGCUUUUGCUGUAUCUGGAAGUAUGACACUUAGAAAUUUACAGAAGUCUCAUUUUGAGUUAGAAAACAUCUUAACAGUACAGUGCCUUAGACAUAGAACCGGAAAAAGACUAGUGCUUCACUGCUAACAAGAAAGUGGAGACGACUCACUGCUACUAAAGAUUUAUGCCCAGUUCUCUCUAUCUUGUGUAAGGAGCAAGGUGAACCUCAUCUGGGUGCCAUGCUGAAGAGGCAUUCCUGGGAAGUUCCUGGAGAAAAGUUGGUUUCAUGAAUGCUGACUGUCUGAAUGGGAAACGACCCCUGAACAAUUUAGGGUAAUAUUCAUAUUUGACAUCGCACUACCAUGGAAGCUUGAAAAAUCUUAUCCAGAGGCUAUGUUAAAUCUUAUGUGAACUGCUCAAGAAGUUUGAGUUCAGAUGCCUUGCAAGAGAGGCUCUCACUGUGGUUUUGGUACCUGCUGCUUUUGACAUAUUUGGAAUUGUUGAAAACAGACAGUCUUUGUAGUAUUUUCAUUUUUGUUUCUGGUCAGAGCCUGACCUGGAAGGAAGCAAGUAGAGAAACUGCAAAACAACAUAAAGAAGCUAUUAAACCUUCUUUCCUUGGCUUUUUAGAUCUAUUCUGUUCUUUUGUAGCUUUGGGCAGGUGAAGUUCCUGGUUACUUCUCUCUCUGUAUGAAGAAAUUUACCAAUGUUUACUAAAAUAUGAAUGGCUUUAAAAAAAAAAAAAAAAGACUAUUGUACAGUAUGCUGUCACUAUUGGGAUGAUAGCUGUUUAAAACAGACUUCAGUGCAAUCAACCUGUUUUUGGCUUCAUAUACAGCCUGUUAAUAAACCAGCUUUGAUUUGCACUGUAUCUCACUAUGUUUAGAAAAGGAACAAUCCAGUGUCUUGAAAUCUUCCAGGAAAAUUACUUCAUUUAGAAGCUUGUUUUACAAAUAUAGAUGUUAAUUCCAAAGAAUUGAAUCUUCACUUCAUAGGAAAAUACCUUGUGUUUAUCUUCUGGAAUUAGUGGACAUAAAACAGUCAGUGCUGGGAGCCUACAGGAUGCGACUUUAAGUGAAGAAACAUGCUUUCAUCAUGGUUAAGAUAAACAAAGACCUAACUUGAGGAAGCAUGUCCUCUGGUUGGAGCUCAUUCUGGAGUUGCUUUCUGUGGAAGUUAUAAAUUGCUUUGUUGCUGUGUAAUAUGAAAAGUUUUUCGAAAUGUUGUUGUUGAGCUAUUGAUAUUUAAGAUCACCUCAUUAAUCUUCUCGGGGAGUAACAAAGUUAUCUCAGUUCAUGGGCUGACUUCCUAAAGUGGUUAAUAAUAAAAUAGAUAGCAGAGAAGUAGUAACGUUUUUUAAAAAAACAUGGCAUUAGUGAACCUUUGGACAUGAUUAAAGAUCGAUUUGAAAGGCCUAGAUACAUCAUAUAAAACGGUUUUAUAAUGUUGGGGAAAUGAUCUAGUCAAGGGUCAAAUGUACAGUGUGGAGAAUAGAAAAGAAACAGAGAAUGCUGAGCAGUGGUGAGCUUCAUGAAGAAAGGACUGUACAAAAAUGUAAGGAGUAGGUUUCUGUUUUUGUAUGCACUUGGAAAACUGAGAUGAAAAGCAGGAUUAGGUCGGCCUCUUGCAGCUGUGAGUAAAAAUCUUAAAAGCAAACUACUUUCUUAGAAGAAAAGGUACAGUACUGACCCUUACUGUCUCUGUGAUUUAUGUGAACUCUUGCAGGAAAGAGCUGCGAAAGAGAAGCAGCUCAAGGCAAUCAGAGCUUCUGCAAACAGAAGGAGGCAAGACAGUUGCCAGGGUUAGAAAGAGAAGACAGUCUCACCUACAGGGAGGCACUGGAGACAGUCAAGAGGCUCUGCAAAAGCUGUGAAACACUAGCCAAGAAUUGGGUGUAUAUGUGGAUAUUUAGAUGUCUUUGAGAGCUUAUGGUGAGGUUUCAAAAUGAGAAAUACAUUAAGAAUUGAAUGAAGUGUUUUGCUUUUUACCUUGAAUGCCUGUGCACACCAGGAAAUAGUAACAAUGAGAAACCUUGUGAAUGAGAUUAUUGUGCAAAGAGGAAAUCUGUGUCCCUUAGAGUCGUGCUCUCAGAAAUGACUGGAAUUGAACUGAACUUAAAAGGCUUUCUUAAAUCACUGGAAUAGCGUUGUGCAUUGCAUUUCUUGUUGUUCUGAAUGAUUGGAAAUAUCCAUAUUUCCUCUUGUAGUAUUCAAAAAUGACUAAUGAGAAUUCAGAAUAUGGACAUGUAAAUGAAUACUCAAGUGCCAGUCAAAAAAACUGCAUAUUUCCUUUUUUGGAGGGUGAACUUUUUGAUCACCCUAAAAGAAGAAAGACAGAUAACUCUAUGCUAAAAUGCAAUCUAAAAUGGUGGUGAUGGGAGGAAAACUGUGGGAAAACUGUGGAAACUGUAGGUUUUGUUUGAUCAUUUUCCAGGAGAUCUGCUAUGUUUGAAAGGAUGUCUGAGUAUCCAUGUAGCCACAUCAGGAUCUGCCCUGCCCCUGUUUUGGGGCAGACUUAAGGGAGGCUGCCCAACACUCAGAUGCCAGGAUUGGCACCGGCAGCCAUUGUAUAGGAUGAUUUGAGGAAUGUGUGGCAAAAAAAGUCUGCAGUACAAUUUGUGGAUCUGCUUUUAGCAUUGUUCAACCUGGCAACUCUGCUUAGUUCCAUUGGCAUCAGCUAGUGUUUUUCCGUAAUAUGCCAUUUGUGUCAGAGUACAUUUGAUCUUUAUAUUCAAAUUAAUUUGUUAGAUUAAUAUGUUUUGUUGAAUGCACUAUUGGAAAUGAAGAAAAUAAUCUGCUGUAUGGAGUACAUGGACAGUGUUUUUAGGGUGAGACCAAAUCAAAAUUAUUAUAAUAAAUUCAGUGCAGGAUUGGUUUUCUUUCUCUUCUGUAGUGGACUUGAAAACCUUUUUGAUGUGGUACAUAUUUGCUGAAUGGAUUUUUUUUCUUUCCUGAUGCUUCCAGCUUUUAUAGUACUGUGUAAUAUAUUUAUCCUGUAUCUUUGACUGUGAGUUCUGUCUUCUUUAAAUCUGAUUCUUAUUGCCAUCACAAUCUUAUUUAGACUGGAGACCUUUAGAGCAAGAAGCAUCUCUUCAUCAGACAUUACUUUUGGAGCAACUUAUGUAAUAAGUAGUAACAGCAGUGUUCAUUUAACCACCAUUGCUACCUUUAGGAGCAAUUAGAAUACAUGGCUGGAUAAACUAAAUCCUAGCUCUGGGCAACCACAAGAUGCCAUAGUUGAGGCGAGAGGAGUUGCAUAGUAAAAAUUAAUAUGUGAGACACCUGCCAUGGGGGAGGAAAUGGGAAAUAUGUUGCCAGUGUAGGAGUUGAAACAUUUAUGAAUAUUGCGUAAAUAA